rnacentral:rRNA from 1 species
UACGGAGGGUGCAAGCGUUGUCCGGAUUUAUUGGGUUUAAAGGGUGCGUAGGCGGCCCGUUAAGUCCGGGGUGAAAGCCCACUGCUCAACAGUGGAACUGCCCUGGAAACUGGAGAACUUGAGUACAGACGAGGGCGGCGGAAUGGAUGGUGUAGCGGUGAAAUGCAUAGAUACCAUCCAGAACCCCGAUUGCGAAGGCAGCUGCCUAGACUGUAACUGACGCUGAGGCACGAAAGCGUGGGGAGCGAACAGG